GAAUAGCAAAGAAAGAUACUCUGAAAAAACAAAAAGCCAAGAACUUUAUAAAUCUCUAAAUAUUCUUGUCGCCAUAUACAUAUAUCGAGAUGUAACAACGAGCUGUGCGAAAGUUAUACCGGCAUCGAUGUAGUUCGGGAUAUUAAAAAUAAGUGGCAAUUCUAUGUAUGGUAACCAACAAAAACUGAUAAUUAAAAUUGUUUUGAAAUAAUAUUUUAAAACUCUAUACUCUUGGAGUGCAAAAAUUUAUUAGGUAAAUUAUGGAAAAAUUGGAGCAAAUAAUUUGACUAGUGACAGGAAGUGGUAUGUACCAAAAAUAUGAAAGGUCAGAGUUCGCAAACGGAUCGUAUGCAAUCACUAAUCACAAACUGUUGAUAAAAAUUUAAGUCUGAGCACCAAAGUCAAGGUAAACAGAUAUUUAUUUUGUGAAAAACUUUUUUUUUUAAUAAAUAUGUACUAUUACCUAGUAAAGAUGGACUAAGUUUGAACGAAGUUUAAUGAAUAAUAUUGUUAAAAAUUUCAGGAAUAAAUAAAUAAAUCGAUAAUAAUGUGGAAUUUUAGUUCAAGUAAGGCACGUGGAGAGUUAGUGGACGAGUUAAACCUAUAUAUGCAUUUUAAAUUUAAUUUCAUUCCUCUAAGCGCAGUUAAUCAGCACACAAAAUUCAACUAGAUAAA